rnacentral:rRNA from 1 species
UACGGAGGGUGCGAGCGUUGUCCGGAAUCAUUGGGCGUAAAGGGUGCGUAGGUGGCUCUAUAAGUAUGGUGUGAAAUCUCCCGGCUUAACUGGGAGGGUGCGCCGUAGACUGUGGGGGCUAGAGUGUGGGAGAGGAAAGUGGAAUUCCUGGUGUAGCGGUGAAAUGCGUAGAUAUCAGGAGGAACACCGGUGGUGUAAACGGCUUUCUGGACCAUAACUGACACUGAGGCACGAAAGCGUGGGUAGCAAACAGG